rnacentral:rRNA from 1 species
UGGUGGAGUGAUUUGUCUGGUUAAUUCCGUUAACGAACGAGACCCCCGCCUGCUAAAUAGCUUUGUUAAUGCGCUUGCAUUGGCAAAACUUCUUAGAGGGACUUUUGGUGACUAACCAAAGGAAGCUGGGGGCAAUAACA